CGAGAGAGAGGGGGGCAGGUGAAAUAUCCAAACAAUUUGUCACUUUCAGGGGAGCAUCAGGAACCAUUCGUGUCAUCAUUCACUGCGUUGUCGCGACGGCAUUGCGCAAGUACCACUAGUAGAGAAUUAGCUUUCGAUGCGUCCCUUUUUGUUCCGGUUUAAAUUAGCCCGGGAUAAAAGGUUUACCAACCGGGACUAAAGCUCUGUCACUGGUGGGGGGCUCACCAACCGGGACCUUUUAUCCCUGUUGCAAAGGCUAGUGUGAAAAAAGAUCCUGAGAGGCAUUUUAUCCCGGUUUGAAGCAGCGUCGGGAUUUUUUUUUUGCAGCGCCGGCCGUGGUGACCCGUUUUUAUCCCGGUUGGUAUUACCAACCGGGAUAAAAGGGGGUCUUUGUCCGAGUGACCCGGGAUAAAAGACCCUACCUUUUGUCCCAGUUGGUUUAUCCCGGAUGGAUUUUCG
rnacentral:lncRNA from 1 species